AUUGAACGCUGGCGGCAGGCCUAACACAUGCAAGUCGAGCGGAUGACGGGAGCUUGCUCCUGGAUUCAGCGUCGGACGGGUGAGAAAUGCCUGGGAAUCUGCCUGCCAGUGGGGGAUAACGUCCGGAAACGGGCGCUACUAACGCCUACGUCCUGCGGGAGCAAGAUGGGGAUCUUCGGAACUCACGCUAUCAGAUGAGCCUACGUCGGACUAGCUAGCUGGUGGGGUAAAGGCCUACCAAGCCGACGAUCCGUAACUGGACUGAGAGGAUGAUCAGUCAUACUAGAGCUGAGACACGGACCAGGCUCCUGCGGGAGGGCGCAGUGGGCAAUAUUAGACAAUGGGGGGAAGCCUGAUCCAACCAUGCCACGUGUGAGGAGAAGGUCUUCGGAUUGUAAAGCACGUUAAGUUGGGAGAAAGGGCAGUAAGUUAAUACCUUGCUGUUUUGACGUUACCAGGAGAAUAAGCACCGGCUAACUUCGUG
rnacentral:rRNA from 1 species